UACAGAGGUCUCAAGCGUUGUUCGGAUUCAUUGGGCGUAAAGGGUGCGUAGGUGGCGCCGUAAGUCAGGUGUGAAAUCUCGGGGCUUAAGCUCCGAAACUGCAUUUGAUACUGCGGUGCUUGAGGACUGGAGAGGAGACUGGAAUUUACGGUGUAGCAGUGAAAUGCGUAGAGAUCGUAAGGAAGACCAGUGGCGAAGGCGGGUCUCUGGACAGUUCCUGACACUGAGGCACGAAGGCCAGGGGAGCAAACGGG
rnacentral:rRNA from 1 species